AAUUUCUACUAAGUGUAGAUAUCUGGAUGAUUGGGAGAGAUUGUUUUAUUUUUUAAUUUCUACUAAGUGUAGAUAUCUGGAUGAUUGGGAGACAAUCUUUUAUUUUUUAAUUUCUACUAAGUGUAGAUGAAGUCCUUAGAAGUGGCCCUGAUUUUAUUUUUUAAUUUCUACUAAGUGUAGAUGAAGUCCUUAGAAGUGGCUCAGGUUUUAUU
rnacentral:sgRNA from 1 species